UACAGAGGGGGCAAGCGUUAUUCGGAAUUAUUGGGCGUAAAGGGCGCGUAGGCGGCUUUGCAAGUGGCGGGUGAAAACCCUCGGCUUAACCGAGGAACUGCCUGCCAGACUGUGAGGCUUGAGACCGGGAGAGGUGAGUGGAAUUCCCAGUGUAGCGGUGAAAUGCGUAGAUAUUGGGAGGAACACCAGUGGCGAAGGCGGCUCACUGGACCGGAACUGACGCUGAGGCGCGAAAGCGUGGGGAGCAAACAGG
rnacentral:rRNA from 1 species